GUCCCGGAAGGAGCGGCGCGGCCCCGAGGCUUCCCGAGCUUUCCCCCUCCCUCCCUCCCUCCUUCCUCCUUUCCCCAUCGCGGCGCGGACAGAGCCGAAGCCAGGGCGGAAACUGCCGAGAUGGCCUCAACAAUGGGGGGGAGAUGAAGGGCCUGGGGAUGCGCAGAAGGCAGAGGGGACGCACAGGACAGCAGGAGGUGCAGCAGCUUCUCCCUGCACUGGUUUGCUGGAGAGGAGUUCAGCCCACAAAUAAAACAAAGGGAAAAGACCACACUGGAAGAUGAAUUGUGCUGUCUUGGCUAACUACUUCUCCUAAGCUUUAAUAUGUUCCCAAAACAGACAUGUAGAACCAGAAACGAGGACAUUUCUUCUAUGACAACACAUUUGCUCUUAAAAGACCAGCAAAUGGACAGUGGCCAGGAAUAUUGAACAGGUGACUGCUACCGUUUGGAGCCACUAAGGUGCGGCAGUCCUUGCGCAGCCGCGCUGCCUCCACCCUCCCUGCACUCUGCUGCUCCGGCUGCUUCCCCAGCUGCGGUCACUCCUCCUGCCCGCGUUACGGCUUCCUUCGCGGCUGGGGCCGGGCAUGCCCUUCGCCUCUUAACUCGCCAGCACCAGCUACUUCCAUGCCUCCACGUGUAUUUGAUGUUAAUUCCGGGACAUAGAGAUCCCUUUCCGCACGGUGACAAGUCCCCUGAAAAUCUAAGCUGCUGUUCUGAAUUACCAUUUAAGCCAUUAGUCGCUUAAGGAAGCUUGCCAGAGUCAGCAGCCAGCAAUAACACAUUUCUUGUAUGCAGACUGUCUCCUAAAUAAUAAAAGUGUCUCCUCCGCUGCCCAUUUUCUCUCUGUGGUAGCUGGAUUUUCUGGGGAUGCGUUUGAUCUGCAAUACGAUCAGUACAAUAAGACGGUGACACAAGUUUAGCAAUUGCUUUGUGAGACUCGGCUAACAUCACGUAAAAAAUGGUUCUCAGAUUCUGCACACAGACAGGUUUAUGUAAAAUGUAUAAACAUUUGUCCAAGUUGUUACAGAUUGCAUAAAUAUGGCAUUUUUACUGUUGCAUUUACAGAUGUGCAUGUACAACGAUGUGCAAAUAAUCACAAUUCGAUUACAAUCUUUUAAAGGUACUUGAACCUUGCAUCCAAGUAACGCCAUGAAUGAAAAAUGCCCACCAAAGAAUUUAAAUAGCAAACUUAUAACAUGGUUUAAAUUCAUAACAAAUUUCAACGUCUUCUCAGUAAAACUUUCACACAUUUAAAA